UACAGAGGGUGCAAGCGUUGUUCGGAAUUACUGGGCGUAAAGCGCGUGUAGGCUGCGAUGUAAGUCAGGUGUGAAAGCCCUCAGCUUAACUGAGGAAGUGCACUUGAUACUGUGUCGCUUGAGUGUCGGAGGGGGUGGCGGAAUUCCCGGUGUAGAGGUGAAAUUCGUAGAUAUCGGGAGGAACACCUGUGGCGAAGGCGGCCACCUGGACGGACAACUGACGCUGAGACGCGAAAGCGUGGGGAGCGAACAGG
rnacentral:rRNA from 1 species